ensembl:snRNA U6 U6 spliceosomal RNA
GUGCUUGCUUUGGCAGCACAUAUACUAAAAUUGGAAUGAUACAGAGAAGAUUAGCAUGGCCCCUGCACAAGGAUGACAUGCAAAUUUGUGAAGUGUUCCAUAUUUUA